rnacentral:rRNA from 1 species
GCGCACGCGCGCUACACUGACGGAGCCAGCGAGUACUGGCGCAAGCCUUCCUUGGCCGAAAGGUCCGGGUAAUCUUGGGAAACUCCGUCGUGCUGGGGAUAGUCCUUUGCAAUUAUCGGACUUGAACGAGGAAUUCCUAGUAAGCGCGGUUCAUCAGAUCGCGUUGAUUACGUCCCUGCCCUUUGUACACACCGCCCGUCGCUACUACCGAUUGAAUGGCUUAGUGAGGCCCUCGGAUUGGCGUAUUGCUGCCGGCAACGGCUGGUUAUAUGCCGAGAAGUUGGUCAAACUUGGUCAUUUAGAGGAAGUAAAAGUCGUAACAAGGUAUCCGUAGGUGAACCUGCGGAUGGAUCAUUAACGUUUAAUGAACUAAUUAAAGAUGUAGACGCUUAUGGUGUCUACUAUCUUUUACCCUUGUGGUCUAAUAGGAUUAGUUAAUUAUGAUUAUUAUUAGUAGUGUUUGACUAGGACACAUUGAUGUGUGUAGUAGAUGGACNCGCUAAUAAUAGGAUUAAUAGACAAAGACAUUUAUUUAUUAUACAUUUUAAAUGACUAAAGUAACCUUGUGAAUCACAAAGCAAUGCGUAUAUUUAUAUAUGUUUGUUUAUUUGUUUACCAAGUAAAACAACUAAUAAUUUUAUACAACUGCUAGCAACGGAUCACUCGGCUCUCGCNUCGAUGAAGAACGNAGCGAAGUGCGAAAAUUAAUGCGACACGCAACACGUGAGUCAUCGAGUUUUUGAACGCAUAUUGCACCCGACGGGUUUACUUGUCGGGUCUGCCUGUCUGAGUAUUAAUACGGACCCAAUUUAAUUAAUAAUUUUGUUAUUAUUACAUUAAGUUGGAGCUCAUUAAUGGUACAUUUGUAUUAUUGAUGGAUUUGAAUGUUCAACUGAUGUGUUAAUUUAUUAAUAUAUAUAUAGUUGAUCGUUUGAAAUGUAUUGGUUAAUUAAUCGAUUGUUAAUGAUUGCCAAACGCUAUUAAAGCAUUGUUAAUCAUCUUUUACUAGAUGUUCAUUGCUUGUAUUAAGUGAAUGGGACCACAACAUUAGCCAUUUAAUUUAUUAAAUGAUGAUUAAACCACUUGCAUAGCUGUUUAUUAUUAUUAAUAGUAGUGAAUAGUUAUACACCUUACUCAAACCAUCUUAAUCUCAGAUCAGGCAGGAUGACCCGCUGAACUUAAGCAUAUCAGUAAGCGGAGGAAAAGAAACUAACCAGGAUUCCCUUAGUAACGGCGAGUGAAGCGGGAAUAGCCCAAUCUGAAAAGCUAGUCAGCCCUGGAGCUGGUCUCGCAUUGUAGGUUGAUGAAUCGUUUCCUAGUGUUAAACCUUUCAAUUAAAGUUCCUUGGAACAGGACAUCAAAGAGGGUGAUAAUCCCGUGAUUAAUUGAAUGACAUACCAGUUUAAUGCGUCUAUGGAGCGUUUUCUUAGAGUCGGAAUGUUUGGGAUUGCAUUCCAAAGUGGGUGGUAAACUCCAUCUAAGGCUAAAUACUGGCGAGAGACCGAUAGCGAACAAGUACCGUGAGGGAAAGUUGAAAAGCACUCUGGAGAGAGAGUCAAACAGUACGUGAAAUUGCUAGCAGGGAAACGUUGGAUACCAGUACACGGCAAUUAAUGUCAAUGAUCAGUUAAUGUAUUGUUUAUUUGUGAUGUGGUGUUUACUUUGGAGAUCGUCUCACGGCGACUCACAUAUCAUAAAUGAAUAAUGUAUUGGUGCACUCAUUGGCAGCCGGGUCAACAUCAGUUAAUGACGUUCGAUAAGUUAUUAGACAAGGUAUCAUUAGUAAGUUUACUUACUUUUGAACUUAUAGGUCUGAUGUACGAGGAUGUUAUUGACUGAGGAUAGUCGAUUCGUGCGUUUCGGCGCAGGGCGUACUGGCUAGAUCAAGGCAGCCCGUGGCGUUAAGCAGCAUGCUGAUUAACGUUCAUUUUAUCAUAUUUAUAUGNUAGUGGCGGUCGUUUAGCUAGUACAAGCCACUAGCGAGUCAAUGAUGGUUGACGAAAUGGUAUUCAACGACCCGUCUUGAAACACGGACCAAGGAGUCUAACAUGUCUGCGAGUGUUUGGAUGGAAAAUCCUUACGCGGAAUGAAAGUAAAGAGGCAAGCUUCGCACUUGUCCAUUGGUAGGAAUCGAAGUGUUUCGGCACGACGAGGCACUACCGACCGACCUGUUGCCCUCUGUGGUGGUAGGUUUGAGUUGGAGCAGUCCUGUUAGGACCCGAAAGAUGGUGAACUAUGCCUGAGCAGGAUGAAGUCAGAGGAAACUCUGAUGGAGGUCCGUAGCGGUUCUGACGUGCAAAUCGAUCGUCGGACUUGGGUAUAGGGGCGAAAGACUAAUCGA